GGAAUAUUGGACGAUGGGCGAAAGCCUGAUCCAGCCAUGCCGCGUGAGUGAUGAAGGCCUUAGGGUUGUAAAGUCCUUUCGACGGGGAAGAUAAUGACGGUACCCGUAGAAGAAGCCCCGGCGAACUUCGUACCAGCAGCCGCGGUAAUACGAAGGGGGCUAGCGUUGCUCGGAAUUACUGGGCGUAAAGCGCACGUAGGCGGAUUUUUAAGUCGGGGGUGAAAUCCUGGAGCUCAACUCCAGAACUGCCUUCGAAACUGAAAGUCUUGAGUUCGGGAGAGGUGAGUGGAACUGCGAGUGUAGAGGUGAAAUUCGUAGAUAUUCGCAAGAACACCAGUGGCGAAGGCGGCUCACUGGCCCGAUACUGACGCUGAGGUGCGAAAGCGUGGGGAGCAAAC
rnacentral:rRNA from 1 species